rnacentral:lncRNA from 1 species
CCUACUUGUCUUCCAAAGAUACAUUUCUGCAGCAGUUCCUCAACACAAACCAUUUGUCUCUGGGCAGGAAUUCAAGAAUGUUAACCCUGUGUGUGCUCCUGUGGGGUACACAGCACCUCUGUGGGAACAAUGCUUACUGGAGACCUGUGCAGUGAAGGAGGCUGCCUUGCGGUGUGGACCUUGCAGACAGCUGGAACUAUAACCCAGUCCUUUGCUCCUGAACACAUUGCUGGACUCUCAGGUGGGAUGAAGAGAAGGUCGCUGACUCCACCUUAUGCUUAGACGGGAGGAAAGAAAAGCCUGCUGUUUGUCCUGGCUUGCGAAGUUGCUUGUCGACAGCUCUGUGCUGAGUGGGCAGUGUCACACAGUCAAUGGGCUUUCCACCAAGAAGGUCAAGUUUGAAUGGGGCAGGUAAUCUGAAGACCUCCCAUGUUUACUUCAAAAACUCUUUCCUGGUCAGAUUUUAGGCUCAAGAUGGACUCUCCCAAUACUGACCGUCCCCUUUCUGUCCUGGGAAUACAUGAGCUGGCUGGCACCCAUGCAGUACUGCACAGAUGUAUAUGUAUGUAUGCAUAAAUGCACCUUCCUUGAACAAUUGUCAAAAGAAGCAGAUGUCAUGCUUUCUUCCAAUUUCUGCUGGGGAUUUUAUCGGUAGGGCCUAUUCAAAUGAAGUUCUGAUCUGUCUCAUGUCCUGAGCCAUGUCUUCUGUAGAGGAGAAUGUGCAGGGAGAAAUUGGGUAAGUGUAACUUCUGUUGA